GCCUCUAUAGCUCAGUCGGUAGAGCGCGGCCCUUUUAAGGCCGUGGUCGCGGGUUCGAGCCCCGCUGGAGGUG
rfam:Perkinsus marinus ATCC 50983 gcontig_1104296591286, whole genome shotgun sequence.